rnacentral:lncRNA from 1 species
UCCUGGCCAAAAUUUUGCUAAAUUGAAAUACGACUGUACAUAGCUCCUGAACUGGAGUGGUCAAUCUCAUCUUGACACACGCAUCGAUAAGUCAAGUACUUGACUACACCCAGCAGCCUUCCGUCACUGAAUUAAAAAUUCAGGUAGUCCAGUGCCUAAGUACAGUGAGUUGCUUGCAAGUCAUCGUGGCGGUCUCAGGUCGGAGGGACAGUUAUACCCAUAUCCCAUCGGAACAAAUCUUGACAGCAGAAAUAGCUCCGGAGUCGGUCACGUUCAGUGCAGAUGUACCC